rnacentral:lncRNA from 1 species
UAAAGAAAAUUAUGAAAAAACAUUUAAUUAACCCAUCUAAAUGACAGAUAAUUUUGAAGUACUAGUUUUUUACAUACUUAGAGAUAUAGAAAUUAUAGACAUAAAAAAAAUAAUAUGAGAAAAAAUAUUUAACAUUGAAGAUGAAGAGUUAGAUAUAAAUCAGAUAGAAGACGAGUUAGGAGAAAUAUACUUAAGUGAUGAAAAUCACUAUUACUACCUAGAUAAUUAUUCAGAUGAAUAUUAUACAGAUUAAGAA